UACGUAGGGGGCAAGCGUUGUCCGGAUUUAUUGGGCGUAAAGAGCGUGUAGGCGGCCUUUUAAGUCCUGCGUGAAAUCCUGCGGCUCAACCGCAGACGGUCGUGGGAAACUGGAAGGCUAGAGUGCGGGAGAGGAGAGUGGAAUUCCCGGUGUAGCGGUGAAAUGCGCAGAUAUCAGGAGGAACACCGGUGGCGAAGGCGGUUCUCUGGGCAUUACCUGACGCUGAGGAGCGAAAGUGUGGGGAGCGAACAGG
rnacentral:rRNA from 1 species